rnacentral:lncRNA from 1 species
AUAGAUUCAUUCCGUGGAAUCGAAAGAUCUAUAUAUGCGAGGUAAGUCCCCUCUGCAGCAGGAGUGACAACACACUGUGGUGUCUCCAUUUGCAGCUGAUCACAAAUCUCAAGCAAUAAUGUAAGGUAAGAAAGUUGGACGGUCGACAUAGAAGAAGCUGCAAAAGAGAGGGGGAAAAAAGGGUAAGGAGAUGUAAAAGGGUAAGUCAUUAAAAGCGUACUGAUAAAAGAAUAAAAUAACAUGUGAGGAGAAAUAGAUAUCGAAAACAAAGACAUGAGUAGUAAAAAAACAAAACCAAAAAAUAAAGAUAUCAGUAGUAAAAGAAACCAAAAAUACGAAAAAUUUUUCAAAGUAAUGGCAUGAGCAAGUAAUCUUCAAGGCUCGGGUAAUAUAGGCAACUAAUU